rnacentral:lncRNA from 1 species
CCGUUAAAUGAAACACGGACUUCCGGUAAACUAACACCAACUUCCGGUGAAUAUACCACAGCUUCUAUAAACGUAAAUACGUAAUUUCUGCCACAUAACAUAUAUAUAUUGGCCGUUGUAUGAUACGUUAAACUAAACCUCACAACUGGUAUUUGGGAAGAUCUGUGUCAAUAAAUGGGACGUACGUUGUCUGACCAUUUAAAUGCUGCCGCUCCAAAACUGAGCAUUAAAACUGCAUGGACCAACCCCUGAAACAAAUAAUUGAACCCCAAAUAAAUUUAUAAUCAAAUGAAAACAAGAUUUCAACCCAUAAAUCGAC